rnacentral:lncRNA from 1 species
UUUUUUUUUAUCUUUAAUGGUUUUGAGUUAUAAAAUGGAAAUAUUGUCGGAGUCGGGAGUGAAAUUCUUUUCUUUUUUUUGAGAAUUGGUAACAUGUCAGAAGUGAAAAUUUUUAACCACUAACUAAUAAUCUCUUUUACUGCUUAUAUGUUAUAUUCGAAUUCAAUUUCUAUUAUAUGUUUUACUCUUUAAGAUUGUUAUUCUCUUUCAUAUUUAGAAAGAUAAAUUUUAAUGUUGUUCAUAUUUGACUUUUAAGUACUCCAUAUUAAAUUAAAUUACCUCAUUUGUUAGAAUAUGUCUUCUUCAGAGAUUUUCUCGAUUUCUGUUGCUCGCUGUUGUUGAUAGAGAGGCAUUAGUAAUCUUUUUUACCUCGAAAUCUAGGAGAUUAAAGCAAAAUAUAAUUUCAAUAAGUCAUUGUCAAACUAAAGCUAUCAAGGAAGCUCUACUUUGUAAAAUACACAUGCAUUAAUUUAUUAAAAUCUAAUUAAAAAUAAAAUAAUCAAAUGUUAAUCAAAUUUAUUAAAAAUUACUCCUGCAAAAAAAUGCAAAAAUUGUUGGAGAGAUAUGCCGCAUACCUUAUUUUUAUUGGCCAAUUUCUACUAAAAGUUCUAUUAAACGGUCUGCAAAAGCAUCUCGUACGUGAGAGAACAGUACGUGAUAAUCAUGGUGUAAAUAUGCAAAAAUUAGAAAUUAUUUGUGAUACGUAUACCUAAUACUUAUGGCAUAUAGGUACGUCAAAAAUGAUUUAUUGAAAUCAUAAUUGCACCUACAUGAAUCAUUUGUAUGAAUCAAAAAUAUAAUAUUUGAAUAUAUUGUAUCGUUCUCCGUCGUUACAUAAUGUUAGAUAUCCAUAAUUUGAUGAUAAUCCACAAGAAAACUAGGGUAUGGGGUAGAGGUACCAUGAAAGAGUAGGGAGUAGAGCUACCAAGUUUUUUGGCAAUAAAUUUGAUCCCAAAACAAAAAAAAAAAAAACAAGUGAAACAAAUAGAGCCAUCACAACUAAAUAAUGAGAACAAAAAAUUGGGUUAAAAUGUGCAUUCUAUCAAGAAGAAGCAAUAUAGGGGACACUUAAGAGCUGCAAUAUUUAAAUGUGCACCAAAUAAAAUAUGUAAGGUUAAGGUUUUUUUAUAUAGAUAUUUUACCUUUUAUAUAUAAUAACAUGAUUUUUAUCUAGUUUUUGAGCAUGUAAUUUCCAUAUAAAGUAAAAUAAACAAUUUCUAAUUUGACACGUUGAGUCAUAAUCUAAAAAAUGUAGUUUACUACUUUACUCAUAUUUCAUCAUUCUUUCUUAAUGUUUUGAAUAGCAGCAAUUGUCGUCUCUACGGAGGCUAGAUCUAAGUCACUCCGGAAGCCUGAAGAGAACACCCGAUUUCAGGGGGAUGCCAAAUUUGGAGUAUUUGAAUCUAGAGAAAUGUACGAGUCUCGAAGAGAUUCACGAUUCCCUGGAGUAUUGUGGAAAACUCAUCCGACUAAAUUUGUGUGACUGUAGAAGCCUUGAGAGGUUUCCAGUUAAUAUGGAAUCUCUUGAAUCUCUGAAUCUAAAUUACUGCAGAAGUUUAGAGAAAUUUCCAGAAUUCCUUGGAAUAAUGAAGACGAAGUUAGAGAUUAAGAUAUCACACUCUGGGAUAAGGGAACUGCCAUUAUCUAUCUUUGAUCUCCAACCUCAUCGUACAGAACUAGAUUUGUGUGAGAUGAAAAACCUUGUAUCUCUUCCAAGCAGCAUUUGUAAGUUGAAAGGUUUGGUGAAGCUAGAUGUGUCGUUCUGCUCAAAACUUGAAAGUUUGCCAGAAGAGAUAGGUGAUUUAGAAAACUUGGUGGAGCUUCAUGCCACCUAUACUCUAAUCUCACGACCUCCGUCUUCCAUCGUUCGCUUGAACAAUCUUGCAUUCUUGAGUUUUGGACAACCUAUAUCUGAAGAUGGAGUAUUCUUUGUAUUCCCUCAGGUGAAUGAAGGGCUGCGCUCUUUGGAAAUUCUGGAAAUCACUAACUGCAAUCUAAUAAUUCCGGAAGACAUUGGAUCCUUACCCUCUUUGGAAGUGUUGAAUCUCAGGGGAAAUAAUUUUGAGCAUUUCCCUCAAAGCAUAUCCCAGCUUGGUGCUCUUCAAACCUUGGACUUAACAGAUUGUAAGAGGCUUACACAGCUGCCAGAAUUUCCACAGCAAUUACAUACAAUAAAUGCAGAUUGGAGCAAUGAUUCAAUCUGUAAUUCGUUGUUUCAGAAUAUCUCAGUAUUGCAGCAUGACAUCUUUGUUUCAGAUUCCUUGUCACUAAGAGUUUUUACGAGUUGGCCGGAGAAUAUCCCAAGUUGGUUUUACUAUCAGGGAAUGGGUUCACGUGUAUCAGUCAAUCUGCCUAAGAAUUGGUAUGUAUCGGAUAAGUUCUUGGGAUUGGCUGUAUGUUACUCUGGCAAAUUUAUUGAUGACAUCACAUCUCAUUGGAUUCCCUUAUGUGAUGAUGGGAUGUCGUCGUUGUUGAUGACCCAAAAACUUGCCUUGUCCAAUUAUUCAGAAGAUUUUGAGGAAGAUAGUAUUAAUUUUUUGUUGGUACCUCUUGUUGGCUUAUGGGAUGCAUCUAAUGCAAAUGGAAAAACACCAAAUGACUAUGACAUUAUUAGUUUAGUUUUUGGAGAAGAGAAGGAACAUGGAGUUCGUUUGUUGUAUAAAGAUGAAGCUGAGCUUCACAUUGGGAUAAAGAAGAGCAGAUAUGAAGAAGAGGCCAGUUGCUCCUCUUCUAAGAAACAAAGGCCAUUCUUGCAGCUCUUUCCUACAAGCCCGGGAUUAUAGAUUAAAUAUAGCUAGGUAUAUAACUCAUGAAAUUGUGUUCUCUGUUUAUAUAUAAAUUAUUUCUUCUUAUUCUUUUCCCUAUUGGCAAUGGGUGAUGUACAUAUCAGCAGUGAGUUUGAUUCUCCUCUUAAUGGUUCUAACAAAUAUUAUUUUGUUUAUUUUUUAAUCUCAGAAUUGUAGUUGUGUGACAUAAUAGAGAGAUCUUCUGCUUUCUCUAAAUACAGGAAUUGCAUUGCAUUGUGGUGAAAAUGACAAGUGAGGCUUGCUGAUAUGGAUCAUUUCUUUUUCUAGAACAGACUAAAAAGAAAAGAGUGUCGUAUUAAAGAGUUCUCAAGUACAGAAAAACACUGUUGUAUUAACUUGUCUAUUACAUGAGAAAAAUGACAGCAGAUGCACUUUCUAAACAUUGAAUGGUAGAUUUUUAAGCCCUUUGCUCAAAGACGAAAUGCACUAAUUCAUGAUUAGACAUGUUGUGAUCGUUUCGGAUUAGGAAUAUGUGAUUACCUGUUAUCUUAUUAACUAUGUUUUUAUUCUGGUUUUGAAUUACUUUUGCAGAGCAGACUGGUAACCAAGAAAAAUACCCGGUGAUUCUGCCUGUGACGGGCACAUGUUUCCUCUGUUUGUAACAGAACAACUCGACUCUUGGCCCAAGAGAGAGAUUCAUGAAAGAAAUUGGGUAUGCAAUAAUUCAUUCUAUUUGAAUUUUGUCGAAAUAUAAUCACAUUCCUCCGUUUGCAUUGAUAUUUUUAGAGAGUCCGAGCAACAUAGAAUUCCAGUACUUCUUUUAGUAGUACUCAAUGUUGGUUGGAAAUAACUAGCGCCAUAUAUAAAUACCUUCCCUGGAACAAUCAGCAGCGAAGCCUCAUAGACCAAAGGUUGGUUAGAUAAACAUCCUUCGAUUUAACCCAAAUAAUGCACAUCUCUAAACUUGAUAUUUAAGUGAGAAGAGUAGGAGAUGGACUCAUUAUCCUUUAAGUUCCAAGGUUGCAACAAAUCUAUCGAUAAAAAAAAAACUAAGGAACUAAUAAAGGUUGUACCUAUAUAUCAUUUAAGACUACAAAUGUAGAAAAAUUAAGGGGUCUUUUUCUUUGGCAGGAAAGAGAGAGGGAUAACCAUAAUGAUUGCGGUAGAGUCAUAAUUAUUCCUUCAUUCUUAACUAACAUUUUUGAUUCGAGCCUUGGAUAUUGAGUAGCCUUUGUUAAGAAGUGUUUUACUCUCAAUAUGAGACUUUAAUUUCUAUGCGAAUCUGAAUUAAGUCAUGCUCCUAUGCAAGCGCAGGAUACCGAGUAGAAUUAACUCACAAUAAUUUGAUUCAAUGGAGAUAUUUUCUAAGGUAGAAGUCUUUCUUUGCAGCUUCUUCCACUUAUAUUUUGAGCUGUCCUUUGUAUUCAUAUUACUGUGGACCCAUAGCAAUAAUUCAAUUCAAUUGGAGCAGACCCCAUCUUCCUGGAAACCUUUCAAAUUUCUCAUCGAAAAUAGAUUGAAUUUCUUAUAAAAAUAAUCUAAAUAAAACGAAUUGUGGUCCUUGUUUAUUUGAAAUGGUAAGACAGCAUCGUAGCAAUUUCUUUGUGACAGACAAAGCACUACGAAGACUAGACUUCAUUGCAUUUGAAGAUAAAUAACUAGUCAAAUGCAAUAAAAUGUAGGAAAUAUCUUGGAAACUCCAAUGUAAUAUGCACAUCAAUGGACCACUAAAAGUACAAGCAAAUAAAGGUAUAAAGAAAAAAGAAGGGCAAUUGCUUUGUCACCGACAACAUGACUUGACUUCAUCCAUUCAUUUUGAUCCAAUAGUAGGAAAACUACCUAAUAGAUUCACAAAAGAACUUGGGUAUGCAAUAAUCAAAGAAACAAAGAAAUAUUUUUGAAACUUGAUUUAAAAUAAUUUCAUUAAGGAGAAAAUAAACAUUUUAAAAUUAUUUUUUUAUUAAAUAUAGAAAUUUGUGUCAUUUUUCUUAGACAGACUAAAAAGGAAUACAUAUAAAUUUACAAGAGAGUACUUAAUUUUACAUUUUUUUCCAAGAUAAUAACCAAUCAAAAGCAGGGAUAUGGUCCAUUUUUUCUUAGAGUGAGUCCAUAACCAUAAACGAAAAGAAUUACUCCCUCUGUCCCAAUUUAUGUAGCACUUUUUGUUUUACGAGAGUCAAACAGUUUAAAUUUGACCGGGAAUUUGCACAUGAAAUCUUCAAUUUUUUUGAAAUGAAAUUUAUAUAUUUGUAAACUACGUAAAAAGUCUAUAAGUCACAACAAUUGAUAAUUCAAAAUGUUUAAAAGAUCUAUGAAAAAUUUACGGUCAAAAUUAGACUUGUUUUAAUCUCGAAAUCCAAAAAGUGCCACAUAAAAUGGGACGGAGGGAGUACUAGUUAAUUUCAAUAUUAAACCUAGUAUUUUUUUUGACAAAACCUAGUAAUUUUGACUCUCAACUUAAUUUUUUGAUUUAUUAUUUUUAAAAAAUCUAAAUCCAAAAAAAAAAAAAAAAAAAAACUUAAAAAUUCUCCAUUGUUAGGUAUAAUGAUAAUAACCCUUCCAUUUUUAACCAACUAUUUAGGGUUCGAGCCUUGAAUAUUGAGUAACCUUUGUUAUAGAGUGUUUUACCCUCUAUGUGAGACUUCUCGGCACAAAUCUGAAUCAAGUCAGGCCCCUAUGCGGGUACAAGAUAUCAAAUAGAAUGGUAGAAUUAACUCGCAAUAAUUCAAUUCAACUGAGAUAUUUUCCAAAGUAUAGUCUUUCUUUGCAGCCUCCAUUGUGUUCAUAUUACUGUGGACCACAUAGCAAUAAUUCAAUACAAUUGGAGUAGACCCCAUCUUCCUGGAAACUUUUCAUAUUGUUAUGUAAUUCAUAUUACUGUGGACCACAUAGCAAAAAUUGCGUUCUCUCUCUCUCUUGUUAUGUAAUUCUCUCCUUCUGUUUGCAACAAAGUCUUCUUUCAUAACCAAUAAAAAAAAAUUCCGUUCUUCUUUCUCCUAUACCAAAUUAAUCCUCCAUCUUGUCUCCGUUUGUGCUGAGCCAUCAUUAACCAUGGUGAGUUAAAGGAUGUGAACAAGUUUUAAUUUUUUAAGCUUUGCAUGUUGAAUAUAAAAUGGUAAGUAAAUAAGAGAUCUAAUAAUUGCACCUUUAUUGAUCCUCAAGUAAAGCAACCCUUUGGAAAUUAUUAUUCAUUCUAUGGAGAUUAUGUGAGAGAAUUAAAUUUCUAAGUUCCAAGAUACGAAUAUACAAAUCGCGUCUUUCUGCAGAUGUAUAUUCAACCGAUAUCAAGAUUUUACCGUGUUAUAAUUAAGUUCACAGAGAAAAGGCAAAGUGUAUUUCCCAAAGGUAGCAACUGAUCCACGGCUUUAAAACUUGCUACUAGUUUAUUUUCAUGCUCUUUUUGAUCGUUAUAUUUGGGGAAAUCUCUGCUUUAAAAACAAAAAAAAAAACUUUAUGGCAGACGACGGGUCAGUACUUUUAAUACUUCUGCAUCAAACAUUUUCAUGUCGAGAAAUACACUUUUGUAAGUAUUGCUCUCUCAGAUUGUUAUAUUAGCACAAAAUCUCUGUUUUAAAUACGUCUUUAUGCAGAUGUAUAUUCAACGGAUAUUAAAGAGGCAGCAUGACUUGAGAGAGUGAGGGAAUUGCAGAUGAGCAUUGGAACUAUUAGUAAGUCGCCUCACAUCACAAAGCUAACGGAGCCAAAGGGAACUAUUUCCAGGAAUCAAACGUAUUCCACUGGAGUCGGAAUUGUGUGAAUUAGAAUCAGAGUUGUCAAAAGAGAUGAACAUACCUAUCUUUUGCUAUCAGAUACAUUGAAUUUUCUCUUCUUUUUUUAAUAAUUCAUUUUGCUGGCAAAAGGAACUAAAUCACAUAUUUUUUUAGCAAAUUUACGCUAGACAGAAUAUGUAGAAGUCUUGCCUCAGAUAAAAUUUUAACUUGAAACAUCAUAUCGAUUUUAUUGAUAUCCAUUAAAACUCACCUUAGGAUCAAAACAUUUGUCAGCAGAAAAUAAAUUAAAUUAAUAAGAAUAAUCUAAAUAGAACGACAUAAAAUGAAACUCUACCUAACAAGUUGUGGGCCUUGUUUAUUUGAAACUGUAAGGUAAUGUCCAAGCAAUUUCUUUGUGACUGACCAAACAAAGAGAGUAGACUUUAUUGUAUUGAAGAUAAAUAAUCGGUCAAAAAAGCAUAUUUUAAUAAAUAUGUACAUUAGUAGAAGUACUUGUGGAGCAAUAAAAUUCGUAGCGGAGUUAUGAGUUUAGCGAAGUGUGUGUAAAUAUUUUUCUUAGUUAUGUUAAGGGUGUAAAAAAUUAAAUAUACACCUGUAAUAAUGGAGUAAUAUUUAAUCUCGUAUAUACCACAUAAUUUUCUAGCGAUAAGUGUGCACUAAACCACCCUUCACCUAAAGUGGCUCCGCCCAUUACAGUAAUUCCAUUUAACUUCUCCUAAAAUUUUAUUUCUUCUCAUUUGGGAUAUUCUUUUUUCUUUGAAGCUUCAGCCGCUUGUACUUUUAGCUGUCCAUUUUGUAGUCCAGAGCAUAAAGGGCAAGUUUUUUUUUUUUUUGCCAAAAUUCCAAAAGGGACAAUAAAAAAAAUUAAAGAGCAAAGGGAUAAAGGCACAUGAUCCCCACACCAUAACCCAAAUUUUUUAACGCGGUUAACAAUGUAAAAAGAAAGCCAUGCGUAUGGAUCUCACACCUAAUGGCGGAGCCGGAAAUUUUAUUAAGGAUGUCCAAAAAUAAUGGUGUGUGGCAGUCAAAAUAAAAUAAAAAAAAUAUUGUGCUAUUUGGGUUCAAACCCGAAACUCCAUCAUUCAAUUGGACACCAAUUACCACUGCGCCAAAGACAUAACUUUUAUCAAGAGUGUCCAACUUUAAAUAUAUAUCUUUUAAAUGUAGAAUUUAACAUAUAAAUACAAUGUAAUUUUUCGAAGAAGUAUGCACUUUUGUCGACAUGUUGUAUUGAAAUGCGUACCAUAACAAAAGGCUUGGGGGUUGUAUAUAUGUGUAUAUUUACUUUACUAAACACACCCCACAUGUAUUUAACUCCAUUUAUUAUUGAGGCUGGUUAACAAAUAAAAACAAAAUAUUAAACAAAAUAAUUAUAACCUUAAUUUCAGAAUUGAAUACAUAGAAACAUACCUAAUAUUAUUUGUAAUUUUUUGUUGAUUUUAGAAUGAUAAGGGAUUUUUUAGUUGAAGAAAUAAAAAAUAACCACAAUAAUCAUAUAUGUAUAUAUAAAGACUAGAAUCAAGAGCGAAAAACAUACUUGUGCAAGAUUUGAGAGAUGGGGAGAGUUUUUUUCCUUCAACAAAAAAAUAUGCUCAAAUUUUGGGGGGAAAAGUAAGAGAGGUUCAAGAUGAUUUCAACAAAGAAGAAGAUAAAAGGAUUUUUAGAAUUGAAAAUAAUAGGGAUUAGUGCCUUUUUAGUUGAGGUUUUUUUUAAAAAAAAAAAACUAAAAACAAAAAGGACAAAAGUUGUUGACUAUUGGACUUUAAAUGUAAAAGUAAAAAGUUGUUCUACUUUUUAUAGUUCCUAAGUAACUAAAAGGACAAAAGUUACUUGGGACAAAAUUGUGUGUGAAAAAACGAAUUAAAACUGAAAUGCGGCUAUAGGGAUUCGAUCCCGGGUUGGCUGGGAAAAUUGAACCCCCUCAGCCACUCGGCCAAGCUUCAACUUGUGUUAGUGGGUUCAAAAUUUAAUAUAUACAUAUAAAAUUUUAAAAACUGAUUAAAUAUACAUAUAUAUACAGUGUUAUUUUUCAACGAAGUGGGUUCAUAUGAACCCACUUGAACCACUGUAGGUCCGCCCCUGUAUAUAUGUGUAUAUUUACUCUACUAAAUACACCCCAAAUGUAUUUAACUCCAUUUAUUAUUGAGGCUGGAGUUGGGUGACCUUUUCCCAAUUUUUGUUGGAAUUCGUCAACUUCAUGCACAAUUGUUAGCACUCCACUUUAAUCCAUGUCACAAUCAAAUAUAAAUGUGUGGAAGGCGUGAAGAAAUUUCCUACUACUUACUAUGGGUGAGUAAUAUUCAAUGUAAAUGUACUAGUUGACUACUGGGAGGUGAAGAUACUCGUAAAACAAUUACAAGUUUUUUGUAUGAACUUUAAAAAUAAUCACCUUUUAGAUACAUAUGUGUCACACUUGAAUAUACAGUGUAUUUGAAACAGAUUACACCAAAUUUGACGUGCAUAUAUUUAAGAUACAUGUAUCUGAGUGCCCAGUUGAUUGUAUCUGACGAAGUAAAAAUAUGAUACGAAAGAUAAUUUCAGAAACUAAAAUAAAAAUACGUAAUUAGACUCUAAGCUAGUGGGAUUUGUAUUGUUUGGUCGUAAUAGUAAUAUGGUUCAAUUUUUCUUUGUGCAGAUGAAUAGUGGGUCCAUAACCAUAAAUGAUCUAUCGAGAAGCAAUAGAAAUUAGUAGAAAAAUAAUAUGUAUGGCUAAAACUUUCAUAAUAAUUAAUGCAAGACAUAAAGAAAUUUCCUAUUAAUAUUAUUAGUUGACUGGAAUGUUUAUUUCUUCUUUCCUCUAUAUAAUUAAUUUGUUCAUCAAUUGAUCGCAUCCGAUCCAUACACUUCACUUUUUCUUUUCAAACAAUUAAUUGAAUCUAUGGCAUCUUCUUCUGUGAGUAAUUCACAGAACUGUCCUCGAUGUAAAUAUUUUUCUUAGUUAUAUUAAGGGUGUAAAAAAUUAAAUUUACACUUGUAAUAACAGAAUAAUAUUUAAUUUUUAAUUUAGAUAUACCACAUAAUUUUCUAGUGAUGUGUGUGCACCAAACCACCCUUCACCUAAAAUGGCUCCACCCAUUACAAUAAUUUCAUUUAACUUCUCCUAAAAUUUUGUUUCUUCUCAUUUGGGAUACUCUUUUUCUUUGAAACUUCAUCCGCUUGUACUUUUAGCUGUCCAUUUUGUAGUCCAAAGCCUAAAGGACAAGUUUUUUUUGUUUUUUUUUUUUUGCCAAAAUUCCAAAAGGACAACAAAAAAAUUAAAGAGCAAAGGGGUAAAGGUACAUGAUCCCCACACCUUCGAACAUUUUUAACGCGGUUAACAUAUAACGUGUGAGGCCACGCCUUGUAAGGCGCAUGGCUCUCACACCUUCCUCCUAAGUGGAGCCCUCCCCUCACAAUCCCCUGUUGACACCCAAUUUUGGACCUCCACAAUAUAAAUUAAUAAUUUCGAGCUUCUUCAAUCUCAAACGAUUUAAAAUAAUUAGUUUUAUAAAAAUUCAAAAAAAAAAAUCAAGUUAUUUUAAAUAGUUUUGUCACUUUUUAUAAUUUUUAGAUAAUAUAUAUGUUUUAUCUAAUUAUGUAUAUAAUUAGUAUAUUUUAUGAAUAUUCAAAAAUUGUCUCAAAAGAUUUUAGUUUUACUUAAAUAGUUGGUUAAUUGGUUUAGUUAAUUAAUACUUAUAUUCUUGAGUUAUUAGUUUAUAGAUUAGUAAGUUAUUUUAUUUCGUUGAAACUAAGAAGCUCGUUAAUUAAUCAAUAUUAAUUCAUCAUAAUUAAAUUUUAGUCAAAUUCCCUAAGUUAAACUCAAUAUGGCUAACUUCUUAAUUUCCAUUGGCCAUAAUUGCAAUUCAUGUGGCCAUUUCCUAUUUUCAAAUCCAACUAUCUUUUUAUCCCACUUCUUGGACCAUUUUUCAGCCCAUUCCCAAUCCUUUUCAGCAACCUUCCAGCCGGCCCAAAUCCCCAUUAGCAGCCCACCAACUCAAUUCCAGAAACCCAUUCCAGCAAAUACAUACAGCAUACCAAAACAACCCAUUCUCCAUACAUAAACCCAUUUCAAUACCCACACCAACAAUACAAACGGGUACCAAAUACCAGACCCCUGUAUGCAUUUUUCUUCUUCUUCCGCGUCCACCGAAACCCAGAAAUCCCACCAAAGCCGGCGAGAAAUCAGCGUGAAAUGCAGACUCGUCACAUCAAUCGCAUCUCCAAGCAGCGCCAACAGUGCUCGCCCAUACUCUUCGUCUUCCUUUUCUGCUUCAACAGUAUGAUUUGUUCAAAAAGCAGUGCCAGAUGGAGUAAUCUCGGCGCUUCACUCAUCCUGGCAUCAAGAUCAGCGGAUACAAUUCUCAAUCCGUUGAGAAUUGGUACUAUUCUAGUUGUUUCCGUCUUCCAAGAUUUGGAAUUUCAAAAUUUGAAAUUUAUCCAAUCCACCGAGUUUCCCCACUAAAUCGUCCAUUUGUUUUCCUAUAAAGAGUUCUAUACCUUCAGUGAUUAGGGGACAGAGGUUAAGAAAUUGGGAUUUUGAGGUCAUAUAGGAAAAUAGCUUACAAAAGAACGACUCUCGGAUUUGCUUAGCUCGCUUUUAUAUUCGAAGUUUGUGGUAAAAGAAUCGCCCUUUCAGGCUCGUUGUUAUCCUAGUUUCGCUGCACUUCGAAAGGUAAAUGUUAUUUCGGUUCAUGUCUUUUAUUUUCUGAUGUGUUGAUAUGUUGGAUUCUUGGCCGUGUGAAGCAUUUAAAUGUUAAAAUUUUCAGAUUGUUUUUUUUUUUAAAACUUAUUUCGGCUGCAAACCAGUGGCAAAGCUUUGCCUAUCUUGAAUGUUGAUUGUUUGGUUGUUCGCUUGAAUUCUUGAUGAGUCCGUUCGGUCUCGAGUUCAUCCCUCCCCAUGUCUGUUUUGGACUCUCUUUUCUUUUUGUCUUGGAUCUUAUUGAUUCUGACUCUCACAUAUUCGUAUUGAUUUCAUUUUCAAGAGGUUAUCUUGUUAAGCUUAGUUUCGAAAUUUCGGAUCGAUCAUAAUCGCUUGCCAUUGUAAUUAGUUUCAACUUGUUAGGAUUAUCAAAACUACAUGUGCCUGAACUUUACUUGAACUAUGUAUUUGAUUUGUCUUCAAGAAUGUGCAAUUUUAUAAAAAAUAAAUAAAUUUACGUCUACUCUUUUGUCCCUUUGCGUUAUUAGGAACCUGCAAAUGACCAUUUGUUUUAUUUUUCAUGUGUACAUGUAUGUGUCUUGAAUUUUCUCUAGGCUUAGACUUUUGAUAGUUUAGUGUUAGAAAUUUAUUUUUUCUAUCCUAAUUCUAAAGUCCUCCAUGCUUAGUUUCUUAAGUAAGGUUAACAUUAAAAUGGACCAUAAUUGUUUGGUUGAUACAUAGUUAUUCAUCUCUUUUAUUUUGGCCAUGGAUGAAUUGAUCAAUAGUGACUUUGUUCAAUUAUAUAUGCAAGCAUGUGGUUAAUAUUUCCUCAAAUGAAAAAUGUUCUUUCAUUUCUUGAAUAUCAUCAUUGUUUAUUGUUGAUACAUUAGAAGUGCUUAUUACCCAUCAAGUUGCAAAGUAUUUGAAUCCUUGUUUUUCCACUAAAAUUAGGAUUAGUCUUUCUUUUUCUUUUAUCAUAAGUGAUCCUAUUUACAAUGUGAAUUUAAUCGUUGUAUAUGUGAUUGGUUAAGUCACAUGUUUGUCCCUUUAAAUUGGUAUGUUAGAUAAAGAAAUCACUAUUAUCGUUCCUAUUUGUGAUGCACAUGAUUUUCAUUUUUCAUCUUUAAAAUCUCGAUAGGUUGCGAACAUAUAAGUAUUAGUUCAGUGUUGCAAUGAGUUGGGCCCCUUUUCCUUUUUUUUUUAAAUUUUUUUCUCUUUGAUUCCAUAUGUAAAUGAUGAAGUUUGGGGUGGAUGUUUUGAGUUCACUAUCGCAUGUCAAUUUACUCAUCCUUGCUUCAAUUCUCCUUUAAUUACAAGUUGGAUUGCCCAUUAAUUUAGAAGCCUUCCUGGUAGUUUGUUGAUUUCUUAAAGAUGAAUUGUGAAUAUUAAGAGUCAUAUCUAGCUAGAUACACUAAAUGAUAGUUUCACACCAUAGAUACACUAAAUGAUUGCAAUUUUAUUUAGCAAUCAAUUCAUUUAGUUCACUGUUGACUUUUAUGUACAUCAUUUAGUUAAUAUUAUAUUAUAUAUUCAUCUAGUUAAGAAGCUUUCUAUAUGGCCUAAUUUUACUUUAAUAAAAUUUAGGAUUAGUAUAGUUCUUUAUCUUUAGAUGUAUGUUGAAUAUGUAAUCUCUAUCGGUUGAUGUUCAAGUUCAUUGUGGUGCUUUAUUGAUUUUGUUUUAUUUUAUUUUAUUUUCUCUCUGAUCAUUUGAAAAAUAUUGCAUUAGUAUAUAGUGGACAUUUGAGGAGGACUAUUUUGUCAACAAUAUUAAUGCUCUUAUUCAUUCUGUUAAACCUUGUUGCUACCUUUCUUUAGGCCUUGCUCCUUAUUAAGAUAGUGUUGUAGGUUCAAAUUCUUAAAAUUGGUAUAUCCAUGUUGGUUAGUCUAUUUUACAUUAAUUAGAUUAAGCAUGAAUUUUGGCAUAGCAAUAGAUUCAAAAUGAGUUGAUGAAGCUUGGCAUGUGGCUUUGAUAGGGCACCACCAUGCGACUUAGAUUUAUUAAAGGAUGUGUUGUGCGAAUACUCGUUUUCAAUAAAUGUAGUAAAUUUCUUUAAAUUAGUUUGCUUGUUUAGUCAAAUGAUAUCCUGUUUGGUCUUGUAUCUUAGAUAUUUACCUUCUUACAUCCCAUUGAUUGCACAUUUAAUUAUUGUUUAUGACAAUUCUAAUUUCUUAUCAUCCUUUUUAUUGCAUGUGAAAUAUGUCCGAGCCCUCAUGGGCUUCCACCCUCUCGUUGCAUUCGAUGAUUGGGCCAUAGGGGCCCGAUUUUUCUUUUCUUUAAGUCAGCCGGGUCAUCUGAAUAGGGCUGUACAGGGGCUGGAAAUUGAAAACAAGUCUCAGAAAGCUGAAAAAAGGCUGAGAUACAGCUUGUAUACAUUGAUAUAUAUCGGUAUACACUCAUAUACAGGUCGAAAAAUGUGAAAAUACAUGUCUGAGGCGAAAUAUAGGCAUUCGGAAGCAAGAGAUACAUGAAAAAAGCAAAUAUGUAUGCUCAUAUACACUGAUAUACAUCAGCUGUAUACCAAAAACGGGUUUGGUUAAACCCCAAAAAAUACCAACGAAAUUGGCCCAAAAGGGGGCCCGAAUUCAAUUUCUCCCUUACUCUUUAAUUACCUAAUUGUGAUUAUUUAUUGUUUGUUGUUUAACUCUAACUUUAUAAUUGUAAAUUAACUUAGUUGAAUUCCCCAAAAGACGAACUAUUUCUCUGUGUUGUUGUAUUUCUAACAAAUCUCAUUUUAUCAACUCUUGUAUUUUCAUUUAUAAUCUUUAGUCAAAACUUUUUUUAUUAUUAUUAUUUUUAUUAGUUUAAAAUAGUUUUUCCAUAAACCGAAAAAUGACUCAAAUAAAAGACAACUAAUUUAGUUUCGUUAAAAUUUUAAUUACUUGUCUCUAAUUCACAUAUUUCAAUUAAGGUCCCAUUUGCUUAAAAAAUAAAAAUUGCUCUUUGUUUAACUACUUUCUCAAAGUUAAUCUAGCAGUGUAAAUUAUUAUUAUAAAUACUUACUUAGUCAUUUCUCAAAAAUGUUAGUCAAAAUAUUUUUUCUUCAAUUAAUUUAAAAUGAUUUUCAUGCUUUAAUUAUUAAAUUGGCUUAAAUUAUUUAUUUUAAAGUGAAUUAAAUAAAUUAUAAUUAGUCUAGUUUUAUUAAUAUUCUAAUCAUUUGUAUUUCGACUCAAAUGUUUUAUUUUGGAUACCUUUCUCUAAAAAAUAAAAAUGAAAUAAAAGUGUGUCAUUUAUUUAACUAUUUUUUUUCAAAGUUAACAAAAUAUUGUAAAUUAUUAUUCUUAUGUUAAAUCACAUUUUCCUAAAAAAUAGUCAAAAAUAUUUUAGUCAAGUCACAGGUCAACCGCAUGUUAGCGGACACUUCGAAUGCUUAAACCCUUCUCGAAGUGUAAAUUGAACCCCGAAUCCUCUUUGCUAUUUUCAAAUGAUUUUUUCUGUUUAAAUCUUUGAAAAUUAUAAGUUUUCUUAAUUUCUUUAAAAAAUUAAGUGGCGACUCUUUCUAAGUAUUUUUCUUUUAGUGUUUUACACUUAGAACAUUUCAAAAAAGUACAUUUUUCUAGAAAUAGUUAAAUUACGGCACAACACCCCCCGCCCCCUCCCCAUACUCCCUUUAUUUCUUUUUAGUUGUCAGUAUUUUUCGAGAGUUAAUUUGACUAAUUUUAACAAUUAAAUUAAAUUAUAUUAAUUUGAUAUUUGAAUUAACUAAUUUUAAAAAUUAAAUUAAAUUAAUUUGAUAUUUAAAAAUAAAAAUUUAGAUAUUCAAACCACUAUAAAAAAAAAAUUGUAUCAAAACUUUUUGUUGGAAUUCGUCAAAUUCAUGCACUCGUCAGCACUUAAAUCCAUGUCACAAUCAAAUGUGGAAGGCGUGAAGAAAUUUCCUACUACUUACUAUGGACGACUAAUAUUCAAUGUAAAUGUACUAGUUGACUAGUGGGAUGUGAAGAUACUUGUAAAACAAUUACUAGUUACUUGUACAAACUUUUGACAAGGAGGAGAAUAAUCACCUUUUAAAUUGAUAAAAGGUUAAAGCAUGGCGAUACGAUCCUAGAAGAACUCUUGAAAGCUUUCAAAUACUCUCAAGUUGCCCUCGUUAUUUCCCUUAAAUAAAAGGAAAGAUAUACGUUCUUUUCUAAGCGGACUGAAAAAUAAAAAAAUAAAACAAUCAAAUUGAAAUAAAAUGAGUAUUUUCUAUUUCCAUCUAGAGGUGACAAAUUUCUUUGUUUGAUACAAAACAACUAGAUUCUUGGCUUGAGAAAUAGAUUCGAAAAGAAGUUGGGUACACAUUAAUCCAAUCUUCUUGAACCUACAGAUAUCUAUAUAACUCUUGUUUUAAUAGAAGUGAUGUGACACCUCUUUUGGAACCAAUGUAGCUCAAGUGGUCGAGCAACUAUUGAUAUAGGGGUGUAUAUCGUUUGUUUUUCUGUCAUUCUUUCUGGGAUUGGUUAAAAAGGAAAGUGAAUCAUAUAAAUUGAAACAGAGAAAUUAGUUAAUUACAAUUUUUUCCAAAUAAUCUAUCUAUAUAUAAUAGGAGAGGAAAAAACGCAUACGUGUCAACACCACAAAAUUUAUAGAUAUAUUAAAUAAAAAACAAUUUAAAAAACAAAACAGUUCAAAAAUAAAACAUAAAUUAAAAACAGUUUUUAAAAUUUGUUUACGUUAACUACACCAAUUCUAACAAACUAAUUGUAUAACUUCCUGCGUUAUUCAAAAAGAAAAAAAUAUAUACUAGGACAAAAUCCAACUUUUACCACUUGGAAAUUUUAAAGAGUUAAAUUAAAUUUAAAGUUAUUUUUUUAAAAAAAGAAGAUAAUAUCAAAAAAAUAAGAAUUUUUAAUAUAUAUAUAUAUAUAUAUAUAUAUAUGAGAGGUGAUAGCGCUUACGUGUCAGCACCACAAUUAAUCUCUACUUUUUAACUUUUAAAUUAUCAAUUAAUUCAAUAUAAUUAAUUUGUUUUUUAAUAAAGAAAAUAAGUUACUAUUUUAGAAGAUAAGUUAGAGUUUUUCACUUAAUAAAAAUUGUUUGUUCUUUUUUUAAAAAAAACGUGUUAUUCUUGAAUUUUGAGUUUGAAAAAAAAUAAUUAAAUUGAUUAAUAAAAAUUAUCUAUUUAAUAAAUAACAAUAAUAAUAAUAAUAAUGGUAUAAUUUUUUUAAAAAAAACAUCCAACUGAAUAGUCUAUUUUAUAAUAAUAAUUUGAAUUUAUAAUUAAAUUAACUAAACUAAUUUAAAAUCCGAAAAUAAAAGAAAAAUGAAAAAUUACAAACGAAAAAGGAAAAAAAAUUGAAAACACGAUUUUGAGUUUUUUUUUUUUUAAAAAAAAGUCUAACUUCCCACGUUUUCUAAAAAUAAAAAAAAUACAUAUUAUGGACAAAAUCAAAAUUUUACAACUUCUCAAUUUUAAAUAAUUAAACUUAAAUUUAUAAUUAAAUUAGCUAAAUUAAUUUAAAAUCUUAUUUAGAAUAAAAUUAGUGGGAUCAGUUUAAACUUUAGAUAAAUAUUGUUAUCUUUUAAAUUUUGAGUUACAAAAAGGGCAGUAGUGUAAAGGUAACUAAUUAAAAUUAGAUAAUUAAUUUGAAAAUAAAUAACAGUUAUGUGGUUUGAAUUUUGAAAAUUCCACUAAAUCUAUAACUGUUAUGUGGUUUGAAUUAUGAAUUUGAUUUUAACUUCAUUAAAAAGAUAAUAUAUUUAUGACAGUUUUAAUAAGGCAGUUUUAAUAGUGAUUUAUGAUCGUUUUAUUAUAAAUUUUAAAUGCUUAUAAAAUCAAAAAAGAUAGAGCAGCGUUGGAAACCACCACUCCUCCUACUUCCCCUGUUCCCCAUUCUCUUCUCUCACUUUCAUUUUUUUCUCACGGAUUUUUUUUUUUUGCUUUUUAUUUUGUGGUGAUUGGUUGAAUUUUUAUGUAAUUAUCAUCCAAAUAAUUGUUCAUAUAGCAUAAUUGAUCAUUAUUUCUUAUUGAAUUAUUUGUAGAUAGUGUUAUUUCUAUGUGAAGAUAAAAUUUCAAUUCUUAUUUUUAUUCAUUAAUUUAAUUUGUAUUUUAUUUUAUUGUUAAGUUCAAGAAUUUGUGAUUACUGAUUAGUUUUGCAUCAAUUUUAUCUGAUAUCUCCGAAGGGAUGAUUUAGUUUUAUAUCAGUACUGACCAUUUGAAUUUUGGAUGGUUGUUUCCACAUAAAAUACACAAAAAUGAAUGGUUAAUCUCAAAAUCAAGUGCUUAGCCGAUAAUUCUUCAUAAUGAUGAAGAUCUUCUCAAUUCCGGCAUUGGCUUUUCUUUUCGAUUGUGAUGGUAAAUGCAAAUUCAUUUCCUAUUACUCAUUUUCAUAUAUCAGGUAAAGAAGUGAUCAUGUACAAAUUUCUCUAUUAAACAAUUGUACCAUUUUAAAAAUAUAUAUAUUCUCACGUUUAAAAAAAAUACAUAUAUAACUACCCCAAUAAUGUUCUGCUAAAGUUUAGGAAUAACACAUUUAUGUUUAUAUUUAAAUAAAUUUUAAAAAACAAAUCAAUUUAGCCUAUUGUUUUGUAAAUUAUAUUACGAUAAAAUAUCUGGUAGAUAAUUGCAUGUACAAGUAAUGAUGCUAUAAUUUAGGUUUUUAAAAUAUAUUGAGUUGAAUACUUUUAUUCAACAACGUUAUCUACUUAGCACUCUCAUUAAGCAAAAAUAUUAGUAUUAUAAUGGUAAUGAUGAAUUCAAAGAAAAGAAAUGACAUCGCAAUUGAUUAUUCCCUCCCCAUGAUAACAAUAAUUAUAAAAAUAUAUUUCCGAAAAUUUUGAUACAAUUAUAUGUUUUUUUGAAAUAUAAUAUAAUUGAUAUAUGAUUUUAUGAAAAAUUGACAAACAAACUUUAAAAAUUUGAAUAGCAUGCCUAUAAUUUGAUAGUCAAGUGACUAAAAUUUCUUAGUUUUAUGUUUAGCAUUAUCAUAAUCGUAGAUCUUUACUGUCAUUAGUGUUGUUAAGUAAUACAAUGAUCGGAAUAAUCUAAUGCCUUCAUCAAAAAAUUUAACUUCUUUAGCAUUAUCCAUGAGAAAAUACCACUUGCAAUUUUGAUAAUAUUAAAAACAUCUCUAUUCGUACUUUGGGACAAAUUUAAAAUCAUAAUUUAGUAUUAAGUAAGAUAUUAAUACGUUAACAUACAAAAAUAUAAAACUUAUAAAAUAUCUUAGUGCAAAAAAUGUUCAAAAGAAUACAAAUAAUUUGCAAAUGUUUUUACUUUGAAUUCAAGUAAAAAAAAACAAUAAAGAGUGUCAAUAAUAACAAUAAACUUAUAAUAUUUAAAAUAUUAUUAAAAUUAAAUAAUAUUUUAUAAUGAAAAUAUAUAUAUUUAUUUGUAUUAUAUAAAUAGAAGAUUAACGAAAAAGAAUAUUAAGGCAAGUGAUAAGUUAAUCAAAAUUUAGUCGAUAAUGUUAUGAUUUUAAGUAGUUAAUAAUAAUGUAGUAACGAACAAACGCAAAGUAUAUUGUACAAGUUAUUAAAUGAUCAUGUGAUUUGUUCUUUCAUUUCAUAUAUAUAUAUAUAUAUAUAUAUAUAAUACUAAUACUAAUAAUAAUAAUAAUUUUUUAUAUUAUCCGCGCAACGCGCGGGAACGUAUACUAGUAAUCAAUUAAAAGCAGGGAUAUGGUCCAAUUUUCCUUACAGUGAUCCUAAACCAUAAAUAAAAAGAAUUAUUAGUUAAUUACAAUUAUUAAAUGGGAGAUUGAAUAAUAACAAUGAUUCUGGUAGAGUCAUAAUUAUUCCUUCAUUCUUAAUUAAAUAUUUUGAGUUUGUGCCUUGAUUAUUGACUAGUCCUUGUUAGGAAGUGUUUUACCCUCGAUAUAAAACCUCUCCACACGAAUCUGAAUUAAGUCAGGCAUCUAUGCAGAUACAUAAUACUAAGUAGAACUAACUCACAAUAAUUUGAUUGAACGGAGAUAUUUUUCAAGAUAUAGCCUUUCUUUGUAGCUUCAUGCACUUAUAUUUUGAGAUGUCCAUUGUGUUCAUAUUACUGUGGAACCCAUAGCAAUAAUUCAAUUGGAGUAGACCCCGUCUUCCAAAUUUUUGCAAGAUGUAAGAGCUCAAAUAUUAUACUCUAGAAGCAUAAUCUCCAUUCAUAUUCAGGGUAGAAGCUUAUGAAUCGGAGUUGAUCCAGAAGGACGUAGUAGUGAUAGGAGUGUAUUGCAUGUAACUUAUUUUAGAUAUACGUUUCUUGUUAAUAAAUAUCUGACUUGAUAUAUGAAGGAUUGAUGUAUGACAUAAUACAUUGGCGUUAGGUUCAGAAACUAAGUGAUCUUAGCAAAAAUGCAUAAGCUACUUAAAUGUUAUUUGGAAUAUGCUAAUAGUAAUUUUUUUGGUAUUGUUACUUGAGUAACUCUUUUCAUAAAAAAAAUUGGCAAAAUGAACUAAAUCACCUAUUGGUUAUUGCCUCUGAUAAAAUUUGAACCUGAAAUAUCAUAUCGACUUUAUUGAUAUCCAUUAGAAAUUAUUUCUCAGUUGAAAAUAAAUUGAAUUAAUAAAAUAAGCUAAAUAGAAUGGCAUAUGAAAUUUUUCUCAAUAAAUUAUGAGGCUUGUUAAUUUGAAACAAUAAGGUAAUAUCCUAGAAAUUUCUUUGUGACCGACAAAACAUGAAGACUAGACUUCAUUGCAUUGAAUAUAAACAACCAGUCAAAAGCAAUAAAUGUAGAAAAUUUUUAGGAAACUCUAAUGUAUAUCCACACAAUGGACCACUAAAAAUUGAAGUACAAGCACAUACUAGUGCAAAGAAAAAAGAAGGGCAAUUUCUCUGUCAUCGACAAAGCGACUUGACUUCAUCUGUUCAUUGUGAUGAAAGGUAAAAAUCCAUCAAAAAUAGUAGGAGAAAACUAUUUAAUUACACAAACAUUUCUACCAUAAUACUAGUAACAGAUUGAGAGAGGCCAGCGAAAAAGGGAGAAAGACGAGCGAGAGAGGAGAAAGGCGAGAAAGAAAGUCAACAUAUAUCUUUUGAUAUUAGAUACACAUAUUUUUUUAAUACUAGAUAUAUUAUGAAAUACAAAUACAUAGAGAGAGGGAAAGAAAGAGAGUCAGUAUAUCUUAGAUACAUAAGAGUCACACUUGAAUAUACAAUGUAUUUGGAACAAAUUAUAUCAAAUUUGACCCGCAUAUAUUUGAGAUACAUGUAUCUGAGUGACUUGUAUCUGGCGAAGUAAAUAUGGUACGAAAGAUGAUUUUAAAAUCUAAAAUAAAAUACGUAAUUAGACUCUAAACUAGUGAGAUUUGUAUUUUUUGUUCGUAAUAGUAAUAUGGUCCAGUUUUUCUUUGUGCACCAACCAUGACAAGAUUUCAAUAACAUAAACAAUGGAAGAAUUCAAAUGUAGUCUCUAUUGAUGCAUGUCUACUGUCAAAUUUACACAGUUUGUGAAUAGGAAUCACUGAAAAUGGUUAAUCAUUGAGAGUGUGCUGAAGUAUUCUAUGACAUCUUCCGACUAAUUGCAUCAUAUGAGAGGUAUUCAUCAUGCUUAACUCUAGCAAUAUGAAUUGUAACAGAGUAAUAAGCUGAUGAUAGAUGUUUGUGUAGCUAUAAAUCAUUUCAUUAAAGAUAAAAUGAGUAUUUUAAAGUUAGAUUGUAAUUAAAUAUAGAAGAAUAAUGACUAAAAGGGAUGACAUAUAAAUUCGGAAAGAAAAAGUAAUUAAGGAAUCAAAACAAUUAUUAGUAACAAUUUUCUUAGAGUGAGUCCAUAACCAUAAAUGAAAAGAAUUAUUAGUUAAUUACAAUUUUAAUUUUGAUUCGAAUCUGAUUUAAGUCAUGCCCCUAUGCAGGUGAAGGAUACCGAGUAGUAGAAUUAACUCGCAAUAAUUGAAUUUACCGGAGAUAUUUUUCAAAGGUACAGUCUUUCUUUGCAGCUUCAUCCACUUAUAUUUUGAGCUGUCCAUUGUGUUCAUAUUAUUGUGGACCCCAUAGCAAUAAUUCAAUUCAAAUUGGAAGAUCCCAUCUUCUAAAUUUUGCAAGUGUAGAGCUCAAAUAUUCAACUGAUGAAGCAUAAUUUCCAUUCAUAUUCAUAAUAGAAGCAACUUAUGAAUCAGAGUUAAUCCAGAAAGCGGAUUAUUAAGUAAUUCAGAGCAUUGAGUUUAGAAUAACGAAAAAAAAGACGUAGUAGCAAUAUGAGUGUACGUAUUGUUUGUUUUUUAUUUUAGAUAUAUGUUUCUUAUUAACAUAUACCUGACUUGAUAUCUGAAGGAGUAAAUAUGACAUAAUACACUAGCCUUAGGCUCGAAAACUAAAGUGAUCUUUGAAAAAUGCAAAAGCUACUUCACUAUUAUUUGAAAUAUACUAAUAGUAAUUUUAUAGUAUAUAGAAAUAAGGAAUUACAUGAUGUUAUAAUCUCGAUUUUCCGAAGUCUUUGUACGGUAAAGUUUUUUUAUAUAUUUUUUUUUCUUUUUCAAAUUUUAUGAUAGUAGAGGUAUCAUCUCGAUUAUUUUAUUAAUAUUUCUACUUGAGUAAAUCUUUUUAAUCAAGAUUUUUACAAAAAGAACUAAAUCACCUAAUGAUUAUUGGUAUUUGGAUCUGAAAUAUCAUACCGACUUUAUUGAUAUUCAUUAAAACUCACAUUUGGAACAAAAUAUUAGUAUUAAUUAGAUGUUUUAAAAUAAAAUUUAGAUAUUUAAAAACUAUACAAAAUAUAAUCUAAAUUUUAACUUUUUUCAUAAUAUGAUGACAAAAAUACAUUUUAAAUGUUAAUUAAAAUUCAUAUUGUUUGACUUUUUAAAAAAAUGGUGACAAAUAAAAAGGAAAAGAAGAAAUAUUAAAGAGUAUACACUUUUGUCGAAAUGUUAAAUUGAAGUACGUACAAUAUUUACUGGAAUAUUCAUAUUUACUCUACUAAUUAAACACACCCCAAAUGUAUUUAACUCCAUUUAUUACUGAAGCUGGAGUUUGGUGACCUUUUCUCAAUUUCUGUUGGAAUUCGUCAACUCAAUUCACAAUUAAAUAUAAAUGCAGAGAAUUAAGGCGUGGCUCCACGUAGAGAGAGGGUGAGAAAGAGAGUCAGUGUAUCUAAAAUACAUACGUGUCACACUUGAAUAUAUAGUAUAUUUGGAACAAAUUACACCAAAUUUGACGCGCAUAUACUUAAGAUACAUGUAUCUGAGUGCCUAGAUGAUUGUACUUGGCGAAGUAAAAAUAUGGUACGAAAGAUAAUUUCAAAAACUAAAAUAAAAAUAUGUAAUUAGACUCUAAGCUAGUGGGAUUUGUAUUAUUUGGUCCUAAUAGUAAUAUGGUCCAAUUUUUCUUUGUGCAGAUGAAUAGUGGGUCCAUCCAUAACCAUCAAUGAUCUAUCGAGAAGCAAUAGAAAUUCAAAUUAGUAGAAAAAUAAUAUGUAUGGCUAAAAUCCCAUUGGAUUUCUGGAGCUGAAACUUCUCAGAAUAAUUAAUGCAUUGACUAAGUAGACAAAAAGAAAUUUCCUAUUAAUAUUAUUAGUUGACUAGAAUGUUUAUUUCUUCUUUCCUCUACAUAACUAAUUUGUUCAUCAAUUGAUCUCAUCCGAUCCAUACACUUUAGUUUUUCUUUUCAGACAAUUAAUUGAAUCUAUGGCAUCUUCUUCUUCUGUGAGUAGUCCUCGAUGCAAGUACGAGGUCUUUCUAAGUUUCAGAGGCGAAGAUACCCGGAGAAAUUUUAUGAGUCACUUGUACCAAGGUUUGAAAAACAGGGGAAUAGUCACCUUUCUAGAUGAUAAAAGGCUAGAGGAUGGCGAUUCCAUCUCAGAAGAACUCAUGAAAGCGAUAGAAGAGACUCAAGUUGCCGUAAUCAUUUUCUCAAAGAAUUAUGCUACGUCAAGUUGGUGCUUGAAUGAACUAGUGAAGAUUAUGGAAUGCAAGAAGAAAGAAAAUGGACACAUGACAGUUAUACCGGUCUUCUGUAAUGUGGAUGCAUCACAUGUUCGAUACCAAAGUCAGAGCUUUAAAGAAGCAUUUGCCAAACAUGAAUCGAGGUAUAAGGAUGAUGAUGCGGGAAUGCAGAAGGUGCAACGAUGGAGAACUGCCCUAACUGCUGCCGCAGAUCUAAAAGGAUAUGUAUUCCCUAGCAGGUCAGUUAAAAACACAAAUUUAAUUCUUCUUUUUUGUACACAUAGUUAUAUUCUACUAUAGAACAAAUAAUUUGUACUCAAAACAGAAUCUUAAAUAAUUAUAUUAGCAUUAUUUUUAUUCUUCUUUUUUUGCAGGGGUGAGUCAGAUGCAGACUGUAUUAAGGGUAUUGUUGAUCAAAUUUCGUCUAAGUGCAAUACUUCAGUAUCUUAUUUGCAAGACGUUAUGGGUUUAGAUACUCAAUUAAAGAAAGUAGAAUCCCUACUAAAGAUGGAAAUCAAUGAUAUUGAUCGGAUUGUGUGGAUCUGGGGUAUGGGAGGCAUCGGUAAAACGACAAUAGCAAAGAAAAUUUUUUAUGAGCUCUCGUCCAAAUUUGAAGUUGUUUGUUUCCUUGAGAAUAUCAAAGAAAACAAACACAAAAUACACUCUCUCCAAAAUAUCCUUCUCUCUAAACUACUAGGGGAGAAAGAAAAUUGCGUGGAUAAUAAGGAGGCGGGGAGGAGCAUGUUGUAUAAGAGACUUCUGCUAAAGAAGGUUUUAAUUGUGCUUGAUGACAUAGAUCACAUAGACCAGUUGGAAUACCUAGCAAAGGAUCUCAGUUGGUUUGGCAAGGGUAGCAGGAUUAUUGCAACCACUAGAGAUCAACAUUUGAUAGGGGAAAAUGACGUAGUAUAUGAAAUGGAAACACUACUUGACCGUGAUGCUAUUAAAUUGUUCAAUCAAUAUGCUUUCAAAGAAAAAGUUCCAAAUGAGUGUUUUAAAGAUCUAACGUUGGAGAUAGUAAGUCUUGCUAAAGGCCAUCCUUUAGCCCUGAAAGUAUGGGGUUCUUCAUUACACCGGAUGAAUAAAACUGAGUGGGAAAGUGCCUUGGUCCAAAUAAAGAAAAACUCUGGUGUAGAAAUUACUGAAAAUCUCAGAAUAAGUUAUGAUGGGUUGGAGUCCGAACAACAAGAGAUAUUUCUAGAUAUAGCAUGUUUCUUUCGAGGAAUUGAAAAAGAAAAAGUCAAGCAAGUUCUUGAGAGCUGUUAUUCUAGACCAGAAUUUGGAUUGCGUGUUCUAGUUAACAAAUCUCUCGUGUCCAUCUCUGAAUAUGGUAAGAUUGAAAUGCAUGACUUAAUACAAGAUAUGGGUAAAUGUAUAGUGAAAAAGGGAAAGCAUCUGGGAGAACAUAGCAGAUUAUGGAAUGUUAAAGAUUUCAAAGAAGUGGUGGACAACAAUAUGGUAAGUAGGCUAAACAAUGCAAUAAUAUUCAAUUUUACUUUUCAUAUUCCAAAGACAUAUAGAAUAUAUAGUCAAUUUCAUUUAUUUACUCAUCUUUAUUUAUAUUCUAGCACGUAUGUCAUUUUGGUGAGUUAUUACUUUAAGGGAACAAGACCUGAUAUAUCUCUUAACUUUGUCAUUUGGAUUUGAUAAGCCUUUCGUUUUGAAAGUGACUCACAUAUACCCUUAUUGUUAUACAAACGGCUCACAUAUACCCCUACGUUACAAAAUGAGCUCAUAUAUAUCCUUCAUUUAACGAGAGUGAAAAAUUAGUUUUAAAUUUAUAUAUUUAAAUUUUAUUUUUAAAAACAAAAUUAUUUAGGGGUAUAUAUGAUCAUUCUAGCAAGAUUCAAUGUAUAUUUUAAUCUUUUUCAUAAAUGAAUUAUUUUUUGACUUCUUUGAUUAUCAUUAUUUGAGUUUCUUGUUCUUAUUUUAUUUUUUUCUUUCAUUCCUUAAUGUAAAGAAAAAAAUUAAAACUAUUUUUUGUGGCUAUAUUAUAAUUUAAAAAAUUAUUUUUCAGCUAUAUUGUAAUUUAGUUUUUGUAUUUAGAAAACAAAACUGUGUCAUCUAUAAUAAAUUUUACAAAAAUAUUAGUGAAACAUAAAUAAAUUUGACCAUCAAAAUAAUAAAUCUAAAUUAGUCAUUGAAACAAAAAAGGUCAAAAAAAAUAUAUGUUUGAGGAUGAUUAUGUAUACCCUUAUGGAAUUAUAUUUUUUUUAAAACAAAAUAAGUAAAAAAUUAAAUUAAAAUUAUUUUUUCACUUUCGUUAGAGGAAAAGGGUAUAUGUGAGCCAUUUAUAUAACAAUAGGAGUAUAUAUUAGCACUUUCAUAACGAAGGGUAUAUCAACUCUAAAUGACAAAGUUGAGAGAUAUAUCAGAUUCUUUUCCUUUACUUUAUUAAUAAUAGAAGCAAAAAUAACAGUAGUUGCCUAAGGUAGCUAAUUCGUCAAGUAUUGAUUUUUAGUUAACGUUGCCUAAUUCGUUUAUGUUAUGCUAUUAUUCCACUUGAUCUAUUUGUCCAAUUUUUUUAUUUGAAUUAACUUGUAAUUUGUAUGACAUUUUGUACCUACUAACUCAAUAAAUUUUUGAGCUAAUAUCCCCCAGAUAUUUACCAUGCGUAACUUUUUAUUAACAUAAAUUCUCUAAUGAAAAAAUACAAGGGGAGGGCCAAAACUUACCUUACCAAUCCUGGGUUGGUAAUUCACUUGAUCAUUUAUUAUUUUUUAUUUAAAAGAUGAAAAUUAUUGAUACAAUAUUGUUCUAUUAGAGCAUGAAAAACUUAAUGGUACUAGCUCUUCAAGAACUUGAAGUGCAAAAAUAAGUAAUACAAAAAAAAAAAAAGAUGUGAUGAUGGACAAUAUGGUAAGUAUUCAUAUUUCAAACAUAUAUAUAUAUACUCUGUUCCUCUAGCUUCAUAUACUGAGGCACAAGUCAUUUAAGUUGUUUCAAAUCCACACUACCUAGUUAAUAAGUUAUGAAUUACUCUAAUAGCCACUUAAUAUAUUUAAUCUUAUAUCAUUCUUUGGAUUAACUUGAAAUUUAUAUAGUAUUUAAUUUGUUCAUACUAAUUUAAUCAAUGAUUUUUUAAAAGCUAAUAUCACCCAUUUAUUUACCCCAAGUAAUUUUUAUUAGUAAAAAUUCAGAAAUGAAAAAUAAAUUUAGGAGGGCCAAAACUUAAUUACCUUACUAAUUCACUUGAUCAUUAUUAAUUCUUUUUCAUUUAAAAGAUGACAGUUAUUGACACUAUUUCAGUUACAAUUUUUGUUUUAUAAGAGCAUGGAAAACUUUUUAACUUGAGUCUAAUAAACUUCUCCAAAAAUGUAUCAUUAAAAAAUAAAAUUAACUACGCAAAGCAUUUCUCUUAACUAAUAUUUGUACCUAAAAUUUUAUUUGAUGGUGCUGGCUCUUCAAGUACAAUAAUAAUAAUAUAAAACAUGACAAAAAAUUGUAAGAAAACAAUGAUAUUGAUAAUUGGAUUGUACAUGACAUGUUGAUUCAUGAUCUUUUUAUAGGGGACCAUGGCAGUGGAAGCAAUCUGGCUUACUUAUUCUGGAGAACUAUGGUUUAGCAAAGACGCAAUGAAAAAUAUGCAAAGGCUUAGGAUAUUAUGCAUACAGAGUUAUCCUUGGGGGUUAUUGAAUACCUACAAGGACCAAUCUUCCCAAAGUGAUUCAGAAGAUGAGUACUUGGGAGUUAUUGAAUACCUUUCCAACAACUUGUGUUGGUUUGUCUGGCAUGAAUAUCCUUGGAAGUUAUUGCCAAGAAAUUUUAAUCCCAGAAGGCUUGUUCAUCUUGAUCUCCGAUGGAGUUCAUUGCAUUAUUUAUGGAAUGAAACAAAGGUACCAUUCCAUUGGAGAUACUUUCUAUUUUGUCUUGUCCUAGAAUUAUGAUUCUUGUGUUAAAAUGAAAAUAAGUUAUUAAUUCCAUAAACUCAAACUAAUGUAUUUUGGGUUGUACGUUCUCAUAUUAUUAAUCUCUAUGAAUUGCAUUUCCAACCUCUGCAUCUAAAGAAGAAACAAAAAGAAAUAUGUUGGCACAACUUUUCUACAUCAACAUCCAGAUAAUCAAGUAUAGCGGAAAUUUAAAUAAAACAUGCUAAGAUUAAGGUCUUCUUUUAGAUAUUUUACCUUUUAUUUAUUUAUUUAUUUAUUAUAACAUGAUUUUUAUCUAGUUUCUGAGCAUGUAAUUUCCAUAUAAAGUAAAAUAAACAAUUUCUCAUUUCACACGUUGAAUUAUAAUAUAAACAUGUCGUUUACUACUUUUCAUAAUUCUUUCUGUGUUUUGAAUAACUGCAGCAAUUUCUGUCUCUACGAAGGAUAGAUCUAAGUCACUCCAAAAGCCUGAAGAGAACACCAGAUUUCAAGGGGAUGCCAAAUUUGAAGUAUUUGGAUCUAAACAAAUGUAGGAGUCUUGAAGAAGUUCAUCCUUCCCUCAAGGAUUGCAAAGAACUCAAGCAGUUAAAUUUGUCUUUUUGUUCAAAACUUGAGAGGUUUCCAUAUGUUAAUGUGGAAUCUCUUGGAUCUCUGAAUCUAUAUUACUGCCCUAGUUUAGAGAAAUUUCCAGAAAUCCUUGGAAUAAUGAAGCAGGGAACUGCCAUACAGAUUAUAACGUCAUACACUGGGAUAAGGGACCUGCCAUUAUCUUUCUUUGAUCACCAACUUCAUCUUAUAGAGCUACGUUUGGAUGGCAUGAAAAACCUUGUAUCUCUUCCAAGCAGCAUUUGUAAGUCAAAAGGUUUGGUGAAGCUAGAUGUGUCAAAGUGCUCCAAACUUGAAAGCUUGCCAGAAGAGAUAGGUGAUUUAGAAAACUUGGAGGAGCUUCAUGCCAACAAUACUCUAAUCUCACGUCCUCCUUCUUCCAUCGUCCGGUUGAACAAACUUAAAUCAUUAACUUUUGCAAAAGAAAAAUCAGAAGAUGGAUUGUUAUUUGUGUUCCCUCUGGUGAAUGAAGGGUUACUCUCAUUGGAAUAUCUGGAUCUCAGCUACUCCAAUAUAAUAGAUGGAGGACUUCCGGAAGACAUUGGAUGUUUAUCCUCUUUGGAAGACUUGAAUCUCAGUGGAAAUAAUUUUGAGCAUUUGCCUCAUAGCAUUGCCCAUCUUGGUCUUGAAUACUUGAACUUAUCAGAUUGCCAGAGGCUUACACAGCUGCCAGAAGACAUUGGAUCCUUAUCCUCUUUGGAAAAGUUGUAUCUCCAGAGAAAUAAUUUUGAGCAUUUGCCUCAUAGCAUUGCCCAUCUUGGUCUUGAAUACUUGAACUUAUCAGAUUGCCAGAGGCUUACACAGCUGCCAGAAUUUCCACAGCAAUUACACACAAUACAUGCAGAUUGGAGCAAUGCUUCGAUCUGUAAUUCGUUGUUUCAGAACAUCUCAUCAUUGCAGCAUGACAUCUGUUCUUCACAUUCCUUGUCACUAAGAGUGUUUGGGAGUUGGUCGGAUGAUAUCCCAAGAUGGUUCCACCAUCACGAAGUUGGUAGAAGUAUAUCAGUCAAAUUGCCUGAAAAUUGGUACAUAAGUGAUAACUUCUUGGGAUUUGCUGUAUGUUAUUCUGGCAAACAUAUUGAUUGCAUCACAGCUCAUUUGAUUCCCUUAUGUGAUGAUGGGAUGUCGUCGAAGACCCAGCAAUUUUCCUUAUCCGACAAUUCAGAAUUAGACGAUAUUGAUGAAUCUGUUAUUAAUUUUUUGUUGGUACCUCUUGGUGGCUUAUGGGAUGCAUCUAAUGCAAAUGAAAAAACACCAAAUGACUAUGGGUGCAUUAAGUUAGAUUUUAUUGGAGAAACAGAUGAUGCUUUUGGAGAAACAGAUGAUGAUUUUGAAGAAACAGAUGAUGAAUUUGGAGAAAAUAUGAAAUUUGGAGUUCGUUUGUUGUAUAAAAAUGAAUCUGAGCUUUGCAUUGGGAAAAGGAAGAGUAGAUAUGAAGAAGAGGCCACUUGCUCCUCUUCUAAGAAACU